AAGCUCAGGUGAGGGGAAUUAGAUAAUUAGGCAGGAGAAGGGAGCUGAUUGGCUGGGAACACUCUGGGCUCAGGGCAGGACUAAUGAGGCUGAUUCAGAACAGGUGUGUAGAUGGGCAAAGGAGGGAAAGGCAGCACAUUAACACAGGAGGAAAAAAAACAAACAGCAAACAGAAAAGAUACAACCAAAUCCAGUCUUUACAAAAAGUCCGAGGGCAUCUGGACACAGAGCCAGACUGUGACACAGGUGAAAUUUGAGGAUAAAUCUGAGCUAUGGUUUAUACAAAAAGGGGAUGUAUGAAAAGUCAUGGUAUGAGAUUUAAUCUAUGGAAAACAAAUUAAAAAAAACAUCAAAAAUAAAUGUAGCCAACUCGGUACAUCUUAAACUGUUCUAAUGCACAAACAUUCUGGGGGCCUGUACAAGCAUGUGACGGGCAGAAUGAAAGGACUCACCGUGCACAGGAUCCAGAACACUGAGGCACCAUGACGCCCUCUGCUGGUCCAUGUGGCAUAAUCUCCAAAAGAGACGACAACAUGAAUUGACUGUGAUUAUGUAAUUGUGUGUUUAAGACCCUGAUAUGUUUACUACCUGAUUGUUUCCCCCUUUGCACUUUAUUAUGUGUAAGGUGAUCAAAAAAUCAAUAAAUAGUCAUAUGUGAAGUGUGCAAUAUUCAAUGUUAUGGCUUUUAUUGGGAGGAAUGUGCAAUAUUGUUGGUGUGUAUGUCCUGGUGUACAUGGAUCUGUGUGUGUUACUGAAUGUUAGCUGUAGUUUGAUUGCACAUGUAUACGAUUAUAUUGUGUGUUAAUGGAGCAACUGUUUGCUGCUACGUCACCUGUGUUUUCUCCAAUGCCCAAGACAAAUUUCUCCUAAAGGAGACAAUGAUCUAAUCUUAUCUCAUCUCUUAAUGGUUGACAUAAUAUCCCGAAACUGGUAGGAAGUAUGUCAAGAAUUAACAUUUAGUAUUGCAUGUUCCUCUACUAUAACAAAGAUCUAAAUUAUAGUCAACUUUUUGUGACUUGAAAAUGUUGUUCAACCAUCUCCCUAUCCGAAUAU